CCACUUUGCUCAGAGGCGGACGACUGUUGUACGCAUGUGCGCAGGCAGCCGUGUGUGAUGCGAAAAGAGAGGUAAACAUUAAGCGAGUUAAAACGAGAAACAAAAUGGAUCCACAGAAGGAUGUGCAACCGCCCAAACAACAGCCUAUGAUCUACAUAUGUGGAGAAUGUCACACUGAAAACGAAAUUAAGGCCCGUGAUCCAAUCCGAUGCAGAGAGUGUGGAUACAGGAUUAUGUACAAGAAGAGAACAAAGAGAUUGGUUGUCUUUGAUGCCCGAUGAAGAAGAGAAGAGCAGCUGUUUUGGUUAAUUUUGUAGUGUAUGACCAUGUAAAUAAAUCAAUUGACAACUCCAUAUGUUCUGACCUCUAGGUCUGACGACAGAUUUCUGAAUUAAGGUUGAAGCUUAACAUUUUCAUUUCAACACAAGUAGUGCCUCUCUCUCUCUCUCUCUCUCUCUCUCCCCCCCAAGAGUAACAGAUGUCAGGUUUUGGUUUAUUAAAAAACAAGAUUUUCACUAGCCCUGAGUGUGUUGACUGAUUUUUUGUCAUUUGAUCCCAUGAUUCAUAAAUAUCAGUUCACCCACAUAUCCUUUAUACCUUCAACAAGUCAGCAAGUAUCACCGUUGAAUGAUAACAUCUAGAUGAAUGGAAGAAUAUGUACAAUAAUUGAUUUUUCUACUGGAGACCACAAGUGGUUGCAUAUGUUGACUAGUUGUCACCAGUUCAACCAAUGACUGAUUUCUUCUUUAAAAAUAUUAAUUGAAAGGCUGAAAUGCCUUAAAUUAUCCAGAAAUUUGCAAGACAAAAAUGAUUUUACAUAAUGUUGUGUACCUAAAUUAUUUCUUCAGUUUCUGACAAAUACCUAUGUAAUAUUGUAUUAGUAAUAGGAAGAAUAUAUAAAGUGUUUAAUUUGACCCCACCCCCUAAAUUUGAAACCACUGGUUUGGUCCAGUAAAAUGUAAAAAAUAUAAUAAAAAACUACAGCCC